AACCUUGUUUCCUGCCCUAUCCAUCUCUGCUUUCUAGAAACCUAGUAUAAAUUAAGGAAAUUCUGAAUACAGUUAAUGUGACAUGAGUGAUAUCAACACUUAAAUUAUGAAUUUAACAGGGAGUGUUUCCACAGCCCUGAGUUGCAGAGAUUCAUGGAAUUUGUCUUGUUUAAGCAUUCAGUAAUAUCGCUUCCAUUUUUUUACAGUCUAGGAGGAAUUUUAAGAUAAAAUGGGACUUAAAAGCAUACCUGAAUGAAGCAAGGAACAGUCCUUGAUAAAUAGGAUGAAAGGCAAGUGUUGGGGGAGGGGCAGUGGAGGGAGGAGGGGGACUCAGCAGGAAGGUGGGACGGCAGAAUGCUCCCGAGUUGGCCUGGAGGGGCCUGGAGAAGGAUCAGACGGGCAAGUCCUCUGUUUUGUGAUGGUUAGCCUAUUUUCACCUUAAAGAAAGCUGGGCUGUCAGUACAAAUCAAAAAAGCUCUUUGUCUUUUUUUAUCCUUACUACAAAUACCAGUUUUAUCUAAGGGAAAAAUCUAUAUGUUAUUUGGAGGGCAAGGACCAAAGUAAUUUUCACAAGGAUUCAGCCCCCUGUAGAAAAGAACUGACUAUUCCUAAAGGUCCAGGGAAGUGGAAUCUGACCUUUCUGAUGGGCUAGUUUGAUAUGUGGCUGCAAACUUUUCUCUGGGUAGCGGGGCUGCUUGAUGUUAGAUGCUGCUAGAGUUGGGAGGUAAGAGAAUACAGGACAGAGGAAGCAAAGAGGUAUUUUGAGUCUGAGAAUGGCUUAUGCAAAACUUGAGUAGCACAUUUCCUUGCAGCAUCUGCCACGGAAGGAAGGAUGCCUCAUGGAAGGAGAUGCCUCCUCAGAUAGGUGCUUCAGGCUGCGCCUCUGCCAGUCACUUUCUCAGCAGCUUGAGCUGAGUCAUAGGGAAAUAUGUUGGGGCGGGGAAAGCCUCAAAACCAGCCAAGAGAAAGAAAGUUAGAGCAGGGUGUGUUUUUUCAGUUUCCUAUUGAUCACCUGCUUUAUUGAAGGCAAGCUGGGCUACAGACUGGGUUCUGAGGAUUUGUGAUUUAAAGAGUAAUAAAGUAUCAUUGGCCUGGCUGAGGAAUGGUGCCUCUUUGUAGUCACCUGAAAUAUUAGUCAGCAAACACCAAAAGCUUAGGAACUUGAGAUGAAACUUUUCACCUUAAACAAUGCCAGGGUUGAGCAGACAGAAACAUGGUCUCUGGACCAAAAGGGCUGUUGUGGGAGUCAGCAGAAUUAUCAGUUAAAGAAGAGCAGAUAUGAUGGGCAUACCCAAGAGACAUCCUGUGUUAGUCAGUGAUCUUCUUACUGCCUGAUCUGCUCGACCAGAUGGCCUGGGAACGCAGCACUGCCCUCUAAGCCCCAUCAGGUCCCUGGCUUUGUGAUGACUCAUCAGAAACAUCACACUCAGCCAAAUUGUUUAGAGUGCAAGGAACUACUUUUAUACAGGUGAAAAAUCCCAAAAUAUCAGACUGCAAACAGGUCAGCAUAUCACAGGUUCAGAUUUGGCACUGGUGGGCCUAAGUGUGGUUAUCUUUACUCUCUUGUUUUCUGCCCUUGAGCCAUCAUUUUGAGCUCGAGAUGUGAGGAAAGCAGACUUUUUGCUGGCAUAUUCUGGUUGUAAGCUCUAACUGUCUUCCUGGUCCUUCUCUAGUACCCGAAGCUGGAUGUUCGCCUGGUCCUCAUGCCCUCACAUCUCUAGAUACAGGUUCUUUUCCAGGAAUUGAACUUAAUUCAAUUUUGUAAUCUAUUCACUUCCAACUCCUUCUUUAAUUAACUCAACACCCUUCUGCACCCACUAAUCUCCUUUCAUCAUUCACUUUUAUUUUUUCCUUUUUCUAAUCUGCUUAACCUUUGGCCUCAUGGUUUCAAUUCUCUCCCAAAAGCCUUUCUUUGGACCCAAUAACACAAGAGUACAGCUGUGGCCCACAUGGCAUUGGAGGGGUUCGAUGGUCAUCACCAUGACAGUAGGGGUAAGUGGGAUAAACAAGAUCUCAGCAUUUAAGUGGAAAACAUUGUGGCAGAGACCUUGAUAGAAUCCAAGAUCUAUAAAACUGGAGAAGUUUUUUUUUUUUAAACCGUGGUCAAAUAUUUGACACAUUGUUUUGAAUAUCCCCUCCCAAAGGUCAUUUAGCCUGUGUUUAAACAGUGUAGUUGACUGGGAACUCAUUACCUUUAAUAAAAUUAUGUGAGAUUUGGGAGUUUUGGCAGGAUAGUGUUUCAUAGAGCUGAAAUUUAUCUGCCCAUUUUUCAAUAUUUUGAGAGGUAAGUGUGGGAUCCUAAAGAGGGGAUAGGAUUUCUUUCCCUAAUAAUUGGGGGUAGAAGUUGGAAACUUCUUCAAGAAGAAAUAAAUAAGGGCCAAGUUAUGAGGAAUGUGACUGAGGGGUUCUUGGUAAUCUAGCCCAGCUUCCUAAUAUAGGACAGGGGCAGGCUACCUGUUACUGGAGGUACAUGCUAUCAAAGUUGCUGCUGCAAUGAAUGUUUGGGUCCCUCCAAUUUUUUUUUUUUUAAUUAAGGUAUAGUUGAUUUACAAUGUUGGGCCAAUUUCUUCUGUACAUCAAAGUGACUUAGUUUUAUAUAUAUAUAGUUUAUAUAUAUAUGUGUGUAUACACACACACACACGUAUAUAUGUAUGAAGAAUGACACAUUCUUUUUUUAUAUUAUUUUCCAUCAUGGUCUAUCCCAGAAGAUUGGAUAUAGUUCUCCGUGCUGACAGUAGGACUUCAUUGCUUAUCCAUCCUAAAUGUAAUAGUUCACAUCUAUUAACCCCUAACUCCCAGUCCAUCCUACCUCCUCCCCUUUCCCCCUUGGCAACCACAAGUCUGUUCUCCAUGUCCAAGAGUUUGUUUCUUUUAUGUAGAUAGGUUCAUUUGUGUCAUAUUUUAGAUUCCACAAAUAAGUGAUAUCAUAUGGUAUUUGUUUUUUUUUUUUUACUUUCUUCACUUAGUAUGAUGAUCUCUAAUUGCAUCGAAGUUGCUGCAAAUGCCAUUAUUUUGUUCUUUUUAUGGCUGAGCUGUAUUCCAUUGUGUAUAUGUACCACAUCUUCUUAAUCCAUUUACCUGUCCAUUGACGUUUAGGUUGUUUCCAUGUCUUGGCUAUUGUGAAUAGUGCUGCAGUGAAUAUAGGGGUGCAUGUAUCAUUUUAUUUUUUGCCUUUUUUUUUAGGGCUGCAACUGUGGCACAUGGAAGUUCCCAGAGCUGUAGUCACUGGCCUAUGUCACAGCCACAACACCAGAUCUGAGCCUCAUCUGCAACCUUCACCACAGCUCACAGUAACGCCAGUGAGGUGUUAACCCAGCGGGUGAGGCCUUAACCCACUGGUGAGGCCAUGGAUAGAACCUGAAUCCUCAUAUAUUUUAGUCAGAUUUGUUUCCACCGAGCCAUGAGGGGAACUCCCUGCAUGUAUCUUUUUGAAUGGAAGUUUUGUCCUGAUAUAUGCCCAGGAGUGGGAUUGCUGGAUCAUAUGGUAAUUCUAUACUUACUUUUCUAAAGCACCUCCAUACUGUUUUCCAUAGUGUUCAUACCAAUUUACAUUCCCAACAAGAGUGUAGGAGGGUUUCCUUUUUUCCCACAACCUCUCCAGCAUUUGUUAUUUGUAGACUUCUUAAUCAUGGCCAUUCUGACCACUGUGAGAUGGUACCUCAUUGUAGUUUUGAUUUGCAUUUCUCUAUUAGUGCUGUUGAGCAUCUUUUCAUGUUGAAACUUUAAUCCCCAGUGUGGUGGUAUUUGAAAUCAAUAUUGAAGAUGAAUUUCUCUCAUGCAACCAAAGUCCAGAGGUGAUGCAGGUGUUUGUUGCUGACAUUGGUACUGAGGCUCAUGGAUGUUAGGGCAAGGUCCCUGCAGCUCUCCUGGCCUUUCUAUGAUGGUACCUUGAUGGAUGCCAAAGCUCCACCUGCUUCUUCUAUAUUCUGGCAAAGAUGAUGUAGAAGGAGAGUGGUGCUUACAUCAGGGAAGCAAAGCUUCCUCAGAUAUCCUCAGCCAACUUUUUUUGGGGGGGCUAGAAUUAUGUCCACAGCCAUGCUUAAUUGCAGGAGAAGCCAGGAAAUAUCAUUUUUUAAACUGGGGACACUGCUACCCUUUAAAAAAUAGGGUUCUGUUAAUAAGAAAGAGGGGAAAGGCAAUUGGGUAGGCAACUAGCAGUGUUUGCCAAAGUGUGUCAAUAGAUCUGUGUCCUCCCUGGUUAAAAUCCCCCUACCACAUUAACUAUAAACAUCAGGACUUACAGUCAACAGAAUUCAGCUCUGGCUAGUUUGAACAGAUAAUGAUUUAUUAAAUGAUCUUAGAU
rnacentral:lncRNA from 1 species